CACCUAUCAGGAGCGGUACGAGAGACCUGGCUCUGUGACACCGCAGCAACCCCCCGGCCGAUCCGGGUGCGGGUGCUAAUGCCAGGACCGAUGGAGG
rnacentral:ncRNA from 2 species